UAGUACAGUGAACACAAUAAUCAAUCAAAUCCUUAUUACGGUCAUAGACCAGCAUAAGUAGAGUGGGGUACAGUCAUUUAGAAUCUGUAAAAAGCUUUUGGAAAGCUAAAAUUAUUAAAACAGAAGGUAUAUAUAAAAGACUAAGAGAAGCUAAAAGAAUCUAAAUGAAGGGUUAGGAGCAUUAAAUGGAUGUGGAAGAGCAUAAAAGGUUAGUAUAUAAAAGGCUAUGACUAUCAAUGUACAAAGCACUCUGAUAUGGGUGUUCAUUAAAUCUAGUUUGCGGCACAGGUCAUCAACUGAUGAAUUUUGAACGCUGCUAUACAGAACCUGGCAACAUUGUAUAUUGUAGCAGGGUUGGUAUCUGAAUGAACACAAUAAAAACCUAAAAAAAACUACAAACAUCUUUGCGGGGAAUUUGGUGCCAAUAGAGAGAAUCCCCACACUGCAAGUUUCAGAAGGCAGAUUUGCCUCCAAAAGGGAGGAAAGAGUUCAAUGUUCCCUUCAUACCUGCUCUGAUCUCCUUAAUUAUCACCCCUACCCUACCCUCAGUUGAUGAAAGUUCAGAGGAAGGGUCACUUUCAGUGAUACCCAGUAUGUGUCUUGUGUGCAAGAAGUCCAAAAUUCAGUCCGCAGCAUCUUCAGGUGGGUCUGGAAGAGUCUUUCUUCUGAAAUGUUGGGGAGUCACUGCCUGCCAGUGCAGACAAUACUGAAUCAGAUGGACGAAUCAAUGGUCUAACUUGGUGUAAGGCAGCUUCCCGGGCUCCUAAAACCCUACAUGUCUGUUUCAGUGACGUGUUUAUGUAACAUAUACUUCGGCCCUUAGUUUUUUGCUAGGCUCACAAUCCAGAAACAAAUGUGGAAGCUGUUGCAUUAGUCCAAAAGGAUGAUGUACUAAGAUGGGCCCUUUGGUCCGACUCGUCUUGCAUCCUUUUGAGACCCCUGUGAUGAUUUUGUUUGUCUCCUGAGCAAUUCUAGCACCUGGCUUGAAAUAAUUUUUCAAAGAGCAAGGCAAGGUGGAGAAAAUGGGAAAAGUAAGCAGAGGGACUUGCAUUAGGGAGCAAUUUGUAGGAUGCAAGUCCUAAGAGUACUCUUGGGGUUGUCAGGGAUGUGGAUGGCAUUAACUGCACAGUUACAUAAAAUGAGAAAACGCUGUCCAUUUUCAAUGAAUUUGCCAAUGAUAAAAUUUACAACCUUACCUUUAAUGUUCUGAAGAGUCUGACGUCAGAAAUUUAACAAAGAAUUCCUGUUAAGAUUUACUGGAUAUCUUUCAUCUGAUCUUCAAGAAACGUUUCAGUGAGCCCAUCUCUAUUCUUCAAUAUGCCCUUUAAAAUAUUACAGAUGUAUAAUUUUUACAAUGCUUUUAAAAAUAACCCCCAUCUUUUAAGCAAACUUCAAUGAGUAGCCUGCUUGUGGUCUGCAGCAGGUACACUUUAAAUAUCUUUCUUGCUUUUUAAACAAUGAUUACAAUAGAGGAAAUGUAACAAAGGUGACAUGGUUAGAGAAUCUUUCUGUUUAAAAAUAGCAUUCAAAGCAUUUCUGCAGGGGGACAAGCUGAAAUGUCCUCCAAAUGAUGCUUGGCAGGGUUUUGUGGGGUUUUUUGCGGCAUUCAGAAUGUUACAAGCUGCUGUGCUGAAGUAUAACAUAUACAAAAGAAUACUUAGAAAACAUUUUUUUAAAAAACCAUACGGGGAUGUGAAUUGUUUCCUUUAUUUUUCCUAACAAUUAUGAACUUUAAAUUUAAUGGCCCAAAUAGUGGAGUAGGAGAGCUGAAAAGAAUGCCAAUAUAUUUCACAUCUGGCAACCAAUGUACCAGAUAGUACAUAGGUAAGUAAAGGUAAAGGGACCCCUGACCAUGAGGUCCAGUCGUGACCGACUCUGGGGUUGCGGCGCUCAUCUCGCUUUAUUGGCUGAGGGAGCCGGCAUACAGCUUCCAGGUCAUGUGGCCAGCAUGACUAAGCCGCUUCUGGCGAACCAGAGCAGCGCACAGAAAUGCCGUUUACCUUCCCGCCGGAGCGGUACCUAUUUAUCUACUUGCACUUUGACGUGCUUUCGAACUGCUAGGUUGGCAGGAGCAGGGACUGAACAACGGGAGCUCACCCCGUCGCGGGGAUUUGAACCACCGACCUUCUGAUCAGCAAGUCCUAGGCUCUGUUAUUUAACCCACAGUGCCACCCGCAUCCCUACAUAGGUAGUACAUAGGUAGGUGAGUCUGAAAAGCCCAGGACACAAAUUUUCAUGCCCCUCUAGCAGUUAUGGUGACUCAUUUAGCAGAAAUACAGUGGUACUUCGGUUUAAAAACAGCCCUGUUUACGAACGAUUCAGUUUACGAACUCUGCAAAACUCUGCAAAACCGGAACUCUGCAAAACCGGAACUCUGCAAAACCGGAAGUAUUGUCCCAGUUUGCGAACUUUACCUCGGUCUAAGAACGGAAUCCGAACGGUGGAAAGGCACCAGCAGUGAGAGGCCUCAUUAGGGAAAGUGCACCUCGGUUUAAGAACGGUUUCAGUUUAAGAACAGAUCCCCAGAACGGAUUAAGUUCAUAAACCGAGGUACCACUGUAAUGUAUUUAGCAUUAACUGUGAAAGUGUAUACUCGAGUCUGACCAAACCAAGCCUCCCAGACUAAAAUAUAUACAGCUAGAGUACUAUGAAAAUUUGUUCUGGGUUUUUAAGACUCUUCUAUCCAUGUACUGUCUGAAACCAAAGGGGCGCAUUGGUUACCAGACGUGAAUUAUUAUUAUUUUAGCUCUCCUACCCCAUUAAAAGAAUCUAAAGGGGGGGGGAGGAUGUAAGAGAAUGAACUUGAAGAGAAGGUAGAGAUUAUUCCUUAAUAAACUAGAUGAACUAGAAAUUAUUAUUUUACAAAUCUUCAUGUUCAGUUCACCUGACAAUUAUAGGAACUGCUUUCAAAUGUAGUUCAUAAAAUGUUUCAUCAUGCCUAGGCCCUCAGUCUUGUGCAUGUCCUUAUCUUCCAGCCUUAAGAGCGCAUGAAAUGCUAUUGCAAAACCUGUGGUUGUCGUGACUGCACCACUGAAUCUUUCUCACUCCCCCAAACUCCCCCAUUUCCCCGUGUGUGUGUGUGUGCACUUAGAAGAUCAAUGCACAAAUAGCAGUCGGUACAUUUAUAGCUCAACCUUUGGGAAAGAGACCUUUACCUGCUGUGCUUGUUGCUAUUUACAAUUACAUCUCUUUCUGCUUAGAACCAGCCAAUCAAUAAGGCUGCACGCUGGGUUGAGAAAAGGCUCUUCUCUGCAGGAUAAGAAAGCUAUGACCCAUUAUCUGGGUAUUAGGCACCGUCUGCACCAUAUACUUAAAGCAGUAUCAUGGAACUUUAAGCGGUCCUGGCUUCCCCACAAAGAAUCCUGAGAACUGUGGUUUGUGAAGGAUGUUAGGAAACCCUUAUUUCCCUCAAAGAGCUACAAUUUCCAGAGUUCCCUGGGAAGAGAGAUUGGCUGUUAAACCACUCUGGGAAUUGUAGCUCAGUUAGGGGGAAAGGGAGUCUCCUAAGAACUCUGAGAACCCAGGAUUUUUUUUGGGGGGGGGGAGCCAUGAAUGUUCAAAAUGGUAUGAUACUGCUUACCAUCUAUUGUGUAGAUGCAGCCUUAUUUUUGAUACAAUGCCGGAAGAACACAAGAAGAGUGUUCUUCUUGCUCUGGAUCAGAGCAAGGGUUCAUCCAGCCUAGCAUCCUUUUUCCAAUCAGUUAGAUGCUAUAGCUCAGUAGUGGAACAUCUGCUUGGCAUGUAGAAGAUCCCAUAUUCAAUCCCUAGUAUCCCCAGGUAGGGCUGCAAAUGGUUUACAUAUAAAACCCUGGAGAGCCCUUGCCAGUCCCUAAAGACCAAUGCUUUUCAACCUUUUUGAGUCCACGGCUCCCUUGACGAACUGCAUUCCUUCUGCAACACCCCUGUUGGGCUCAGGAACCCAGUUACGUCCCCCCUUGCCUGCAGAGCUGGCAGCCUCUCACCCUUUUUCAAACACCCUCCCUUAUGGAGUGUUCCUUCAGCCUCCUUGCCUCUCCCCUCUCUUUUGGAGUCCUCUGAGCAAACACAGCUGCCGCCUGGUCUCUGAGCUGUCUCCCCCCCCCCCCCCGCCGCCACAAAGAGAGGGGCCUCCUCACGCUGUCCCACAGGGGCCUGGAACCCUCCCCCCGCUGGCCCCAGAGGCACCAUUCGCCUGGGGAGCCUGUAGCCAGGGCUGCUGCAACAAACAGCUGUGCAAGCCUUUGGGAGGCAGAGACGCAAGAGGGUAUUCAGAGGAGGGAGGGAAGGAAAGAGGGACAGAGGCCAGUGUUGCCCACAGCACACUCUGACCAUCAUUCGAGGCACACCAGGGUGCCACAACACACUGGUUGAAAACCACUGCUGUAGACAAUUCUCAGCUAGGUGGACCAGUGGAUUGAUGUGGUAUAAGGCAGCUUCUUAUGUCAGCAGUUUUCAUAAUUUAAUUAUGGGUGGUUGUUGAUAUGCGAAAAAGUAACAUUAUUUUGUCUUUCAUUAUCUCAGAUACGGUAAGAGUCGUUUUAAUAAUGCCCAACAAUUUAAUAUCCUGAUCCUAACUCCAGAGGUGAACGAAGGCGUCGUGACACCCGGGGUGGGGUGUUGCUACGUAGGGCACAUGUGCGGCAUCGCUAUGUAAGACGCAUGCGCCGUACAUGACGCUGCACAUGUGCUGUACAUAGCGGUUUGCCAGCACCGUACGGACAGUACCGGGAUCCUCUGCUCGUGGCUGUAGCGCAAAUGGAGGAUCCUCUACAUGCGGCUAUAGCGGCAACGGAGGGAUCCCACCACCGUCCUUAUGGCGCUGAAGCGGCAGCGGCGGCAAACAGCUAUGUACAGCGCAUGUGCGGUGUCAUUACGUACAGUGCAUGCUUGCGACACCACACAUGCUCUGUACAUAGCGGUUUGCCACCGGGAUCCUCUGCUCGCGGCUGCAGCCGCGAACGGAGGAUCCUCCACAUGCGGCUGUGCCACCGCGGUGACUGCUCACGCUGCCACGAGUCCCCGCGGGGUGCCUUCUUGUCACCCCCCCAGACAUGGCAUUGCCCCCCCGCCCCCCGUUGUGACGCCACUGCCUAACUCCAGUCUGACUCCAAACUAAGUCCUGUUGCUUCCACUGCAAUUUAUCCCGAUUCUAUCUUCUACAGCAUUAACUAACCCUCCUAGCUUGGUGUCAUCUGCAAAUUGCAUGAGCAUCCCUUCAAUUCCUUCAUCCAAGUCAUUUAUAAAGACAUUGAACAACAAAAGGCCCAGGACAGAACCUUGUGGCACCGCACUUGUCACUUUUUUCCAGGUUGAUGAUGAGGAACCAUUGGUGAGCACUCUUUGGGUUUGGUCAGUCAACCAGCUACAAAUCCACCUAACAGUAACGUUGUCCAGCCCCCAUUUGGCCAGCUUCUCCACAAUUAUAUCACGGGGAACUUUGUCAAAAGCCUUAAUGAAAGCAAGAUACACUAUGUCCACAGCAUUCCCCUCAUCCACUAAGCUUGUGACUCUAUCAAAAAAAGAAAUGAUAUUCGUCUGGCACGACUUGUUUUUGAGAAACCCAUACUGGGUCUUAGUAAUCACACAAUCUUUUUCUAAGUGCUGGCAGAAUGACACUUUAAUUAUUUAUUCUGGGACCUUUUCUGGCAUUGACAUCAAGAUGAUUGGUCAGUAGUUAUCUGAAUCUGCCGUAAUGAAUGACUUGUGGUUUUUGCUUCCCAGAAGCCCAUAUGUAACUUAAAUAAACUAAAGAGCUUUUUAUAGUCACUGGAAUGACUUGAUGCUGUUCAUCAUCAUGCCCCCACCAUUAAAUGCAACCUUAAGAGAAACUUCACAAAAUGCCAAGCCUAUAUUUUGUGGAAAUCAGAUAAGGUAAUCUGAUUUAGCAGUCAGAAAGACAGCUCUUGUGGUCACAGGUUAUUCACUAGACAUUUCAGCAGGCCACAGACGAAGUCUCCUGGCUCCAUUGUUUUUAACAGAGGUUUGCUUUGUGGCAUGGAACUCCACAUUACCAACUCCUAAGGUCUGUGCACUGAACCAGGGGUAGUGUUAGGAGAUACCUUGAGUCUUUUGUGCUUCCUCUCCUGCUUUUAAAUCUUCCUUGCAGGAUUGCUAGGUGUACUGAAGUGCCAGUGAAGUCCCAGCUCCAACCUUAACUUGCUUAGAGACCUAAAUUUGCAUCUCUCUCAUAUAUGCAAUUUUUUUUGUCAUGGGCCUGUGUACAGGCAGCCCCACUUACAUGCUUUCUACUCGCAUGCAACCGUGUUUGCAUGCAACGCCGUGACAUAAACAAACAAACAAACAAAAUCAUAUCAGGAAAUGGCAGGAGAGAGCUAGAGCAUCCUCGUGGCUCACGAGGAGACCCUCCCUAGAGCAUGAAGAGUACCUCUGCCGUAAAAUGUCCUGUUUUAGUGUGAGCCAUACACCAUCUCUCAGCUUAGCCCACUUCAACAUGGUUGAUGUGAGGAUAGAACAGAUGCAGGAGUACCUUGUGUUUUGCUCUGUGGUUCUUGGAGAAGGUGGGUGGUCUACAUUUAAUAAAUAAUCUCAAUGUGCUUAAAUUAAGAUUAUUCGUGUUUUCAUCGCAGGUUUACUCCUAGUUCUGUCAAUGGUUUUUGUCACCAAGUUCUAUGCUAAGCUGCAGGGAGGGUUGUUUUCAACCCCUUGAAUUAAAAUAGAAACAUGUUUUGCACUGAGCAAGCCGAAAGAUCUCCUUUUUGAUUAUGUGAGGUUUGGGUGCUACAACACUGCAUAGUGUACUUUCUGAAAGUGUUGUGGUAUUUUUGCUGUCUUGACAGACACUUAUUUACAGCACUUAUUUGUUAAGUGCUUAUUUACGGCACUUAAUGUGUCUACUUAAUAGUAAGUUUGGCAAGGCUUAUUAAUAAGUAAGUGAGUAUGGCACUGCAACCUUAACAAUAACGCAUCUCCCGGAAAAACAAAAUGUCUCCCUUUUUGUUGUUAUUUUGUUGUUGUCUUUCAGCAACUGAUCAUUAAAGAGGAAUGAUCAGCUGUUCGCCUUGUAUAUUCACUCUCUGAUUUUGAACCUUAAUGAAUGGGAUGCCACAUGAGAAGAGGCCUGAACAAAGGCCUAUCUAAUCUAGCAUAUUGUUUUAUAGUGGCCAGCCUGUGGGAAGCCCCCAAUCAGGACAUGUCCUUUUUGUGGGAUGUAAAACUGCAGUCAAGUACAACAUUCCUACAGUGGACAUAUUAGGGAAUGUUCUGUACCACUCAGGAGAAGACUUCCUGUGUGGUCUCUUGUACUAGCAUGGAGGAGCACACGCCCGCCAUGUUCUGAUCAGUGUGUGUUCUCCAUUUUGUAUGUUUGGAGAAGUGACUGCUUAGUCUCAGACACUUGGGACUAACUUUUUUAUGGAAUAGUUCUACUUGUUAUGUAACCUAAGCCUGCCUUCAGCGAUAUGUCUGUGAACCUGAAUGAAUCUGUGAGUAAACUACUUUUAUAUUAGCGU